AUUGAACGCUGGCGGCAGGCCUAACACAUGCAAGUCGAACGGUAACAGGAAACAGCUUGCUGUUUCGCUGACGAGUGGCGGACGGGUGAGUAAUGUCUGGGAAACUGCCUGAUGGAGGGGGAUAACUACUGGAAACGGUAGCUAAUACCGCAUAACGUCGCAAGACCAAAGAGGGGGACCUUCGGGCCUCUUGCCAUCGGAUGUGCCCAGAUGGGAUUAGCUUGUUGGUGGGGUAACGGCUCACCAAGGCGACGAUCCCUAGCUGGUCUGAGAGGAUGACCAGCCACACUGGAGCUGAGACACGGUCCAGACUCCUACGGGAGGCAGGAGUGGGGAAUAUUGCACAAUGGCGCAAGCCUGAUGCAGCCAUGCCGCGUGUAUGAAGAAGGCCUUCGGGUUGUAAAGUACUUUCAGCGGGGAGGAAGGGAGUAAAGUUAAUACCUUUACUCAUUGACGUUACCCGCAGAAGAAGCACCGGCUAACUCCGUGCCAGCCGCCGCAGUAA
rnacentral:rRNA from 1 species